CCUCUGCGCCGCAUUUCGGUAUAAGAUAGACUAGGGAGCGGACGUAUAAUAACUACAGAAUACAAAAAAAUAGAACAAAGGAGAUAAUUUAAAUGGUAAAAUUAGGAAAGAAGGACAAACAAAAAAGAUUCGUAAUAUUGCAUAACGAAUAACGAUCGUAUUUUGGAAAAAUGUGGCUCCCGAAAAUAAUCAUGACGCAGUCAUCGCCCGGUUAAGGUCAAAGAGUGUAGAUACGGAGAAAAACAAAGAAUUCGGAUAGCUAUGUGAGAAUUCAGUUAUCGAGUGCUCGGGUAGUCGGCCGCGCGUUGCUUAGGGCAGCUAGGCAGCGUUUUUUGCGCAGAGAAAUGCGUUUUGACGGCGUUUUUUUAACGAGGGGAGCGAUUUUGUCGGCGUUUUCAUGCGGAGGAAUAUGAUCCAGUAACAUAGAAAAUCCCCUCUAGGGAUUUUUCUAGUUAGCGCAGGAGUUUUUGCUUGUUUCAUCGACAUGACUGAAGUUGCUUACCAGAAAGCAAUAAAAAUAUAGGCUGCAUUAAAAUUGAGAUUUGAGAUCAAAGGAGAAAAUGUAAUACAUAAUGAAACUACCUAACGUACAGUUCACUAUAUUUAUUCAUCAGACAUACUAUAAGGCCCCGAGCAUACGUGGCGGCGAUCGUUGAGCGGUUUAGGCGUUGUUCAGACUAGGCGGCCGCAUUUUGUGCAGGGUCCCUUAUUUGCAGCGUUACCGACAGAUCAGAAAUCUCUUAUAGGGAUUUUUAUGUUAUAAGUACAGAUUAUUUUAUGUGGCGGAGUUAACUGGCAGGCUAGGCAGGCGCGUUUUUUAUUUUUCGCAAAAUUUUUACAACGGACACCCACACAGAAACCAAAUAGUUUUGAUUUGACAUUUAACAUAGAAUUGUUGCCAAAACGACAGAUGUCUAUUUUGACCAAUUAUAUCAAUUGCAACUUGCAUGGAUAUUUAAAUAUCCGAUAUAUAAAUUCUUUAGAGAAUAGUGUGUGGUGAGCACGGGAUGUCUUAAAACACUUGGCGAACACUGCCGUGGGUCCAUAAAGCAUAGGAUACAAAACCUUUAAAGCGAAUUUCUAUAACAAAGGUAUUUAGAGCCUGUUUUAUUCCCGCCGAUCCAGUCCUAGCUGCUUUAAUUUAUCAUGAUUUGCUUCGGAGAAUAUCUGUACGUAGAAAUUACUCUUACUGCUGUAAUUUAUUCGUUGAUUUAAAAAAAUAAAGCGACUGAUAAUCGGAUUAAAGAAUAAGGAGAAAUACAAGAGAAUUGCAAAACUUUUGAGAAGAUAAAUAUUAAAAUUCACAUUUACUUUCCAACAGUAAAAUAUUUUGAUGAUUAAGAUUGAUAUAAACAAACUUCAAGAAAUAAAGCUAGCCGUAUAGAAGAAACAAAAUUGUUUAGCGAAUCAUAUACAAAUUCAACAAUCAAUGGCAAGGAAAAGUUUAAUAAUUAAUUACUUAAUAAAAGAAGUUGAAUGCAAGGAUUAAUAAUCAAUUUAAAGAAAAAUAAGUUUGAGAUAUAAACGUCUUAAUAGCUUCAGACGGAGAAACAAAAUUUUUAGAAGAGCAAUGUGACGUGAUAAUUUCAUAGAAAAUAUAGCAAUCUUUCGCCAAUGUAAAUUGGUUUAAACUUAGCAAACGUUCUAAAGAGAUUAACAUUUGCUAUUAAAGAGGAAUAAAAGAUUGACUUAAUUGCCAAAAAUCGUAUUCGAAAAUAAUCGUCCAACAGUAUAAUUUAUAUUAACUAAGAAAAUGUUCGAUAGAAAUCAAAAAUAUUAUUGCUACUGAAGAAGGUUAAAGAUACCUGCGAAAAAAGCGAUUUCAAAAGUAACCAUCUACCAAUUUAUUUUGGUUAAGCUAAGAUAACACUUAAAUAUUUUAAAAGAUUUAUAGGUUCAACAGAAAUUAAAGAAGAAAUAAGAAAAAGGAAGAGAAAACAAGACCAAAACAAUUUUCUGUAUAAACAUACCAACUCACAAUUUGCACUUUUUACAUAACUGUGAUUAACACAUUGGCACACGAGACACACCAGGCUCUAGUCGUAGCUACUGGUCGAUACACAUGUUGUUUGAUUGUUGAGAGUAAGUUUUCCGUUUAUUAAAGCAGUAGUUAUCUGAAUGUGUUUACCCAAAAUGCAUGGUUUCGAAGUACAUGAGGGCUUUUAUAACACUGGUUAAUGGUAAUCGGAAAACGAAAGGUUUGUUUACGCUUUCUUUAUUAAUUCUCUGUUAGAAAAUUGUGAUUUCGUUCCUCUAAUUAUAUGUUUAGAAGAUAUUGGUGAUUUGAUUUUUAGUCAUUGUAUCGCACUGGAAAUAGCUGUUCAGACAUAUGCUUGACGAUAACGAGUACACUCCACGGUAUGCUGUUUGUUUAUUUAAAUAGCUCUAAUAUAUGAUCAGCAUGCCUGUUGCAUUACAGUAAAUACAUAAUCCAUUUUAACUAAAUCUGGCACUCGGAUUACACAUUUUAAUACUAUAUAAGUGUAAUUAGGUGAAGGACUAGGAUGUUUCUUUUUUGUUGUCUGUUUUCAGCACAGGUUAUAUUUUAAUCUAUCUGCAUAUAGCAUUAUCAUUGGCACAACAAGCGUUUGCUCAUAAAUGUGAUAUAUCAGCCUCAGUAAUGAAUUAUGAAAGUAAUUACGAAUUCCGAGAGAAUAGAUUUGCUAGCAUCGCUUAUUGAACCAACAGAGAGUACCAUGCGUCUCGACUUAGAUGGAUCAAAUUUGGAUUAGACGUAGACUGUGGAUAAUAGUUAAUAUUGCUUCGAUCGCAAACGCUACUGCAAAUACAGAAUCAUGUUUAAAAUGUUUUGCUGCUACAUCAUCCAUGAAUACAGAUGUCCGAUGGCAUGUACCGCUAAUAUUUGUAACCGAUGGUAAAACGGAUUCCUUGGAUAAUUUGAACUUACCCGAAACGCACAGCUUAAUAGAGGUGAAAUUGAAUAAGCUUCUGACUAGCGGAUUUGUACCCACUUACGGCAAUCAUGAGGGGAUAAUACCAUUACUGCACCUACCGUGGCUAACUUUGUAUAGUGCAUUUGUAAUUUGGCAUGAAGCUAGUGAGGCCUCUAGGUGUCUUGUAGAUCUGUUGCAGCAUUCGCUGAUACUAAUUUUCCAUCUAAUAAACGAAACGAUUCGGUAAGCUUUAAAUUCGUCGGCGUAAUUGUGAUGCACAAGAGUUUUGUGAUUUAUUGUGUACCUUUCUUUUUAGAUUCCCUUCACACCAUUGAUCCAAAUUCUACUCAUGCUGUGCUGGUUUCUUUACCUCGCUUGACAGACCUUACAUUUUUAAUUUAUGGAAUAACAUCUAUAAUUUAUUUUACACACCACGUAUUGCAUCUAUAAUAUUAUACCUAAUCAUCUCACAUGGUCCCUAGUCGGUGUAUGUUAAGAGAUCCGAGUGACGUGUCAAUCGGUGGGAGUUUUAAUUUUCUGCUUAUAAUUGCGCUAUUGUGUUGAGCUGUGACGUGUUAUUGACGCCUUUGUGCUAACGUUGAACUAGACUGCCCAUUGCCAAAAGAUACAGAAUUAGAGCGUAACAGUUCGUGUACCUAUGUACAGUCAAAUCGCUUGUGAGAGUCUAUCGAAGACGAAUUGCACAGCUUUAGUACGAGUUGGAGAGUUGCAAAGAGAGAGUAGAGAGCAUUAAUACAAGAGUUCAAGAAUGCAUUGGUAUAGUGAGUUAUGUUGCACGUUUAAUCAUAAAAUUGGCAAAUAUGGCGCAAAAUUUUAGUUGGUGAAAUGUUGAGUAUUGUGAAGCGUGAAGUGAGUGCUAAUAGACGUGGUUCAUUUGCAGGCUGUUGUAUCUGUAGUGUUCUAUCGACAUGUUUGGUUAAUAACAAUUUGUGAAUAAACAAUAAAAAGUUACACGCUAUAGGUACUUUGCCCUUUAACUCCCUAUUUUCAGCUUUAACUCGAUUGCAAUAGUGUGCGGAGAUUUCUGUUUUACUUGGUGAUCAGCUUAUAUAUGGAAUAUAUUUAUGUAUAUUUAAUAUUCUGGACCUAAAAGUAACAAAAUAAACCUGUAUCACAAACGAGGGACACGCAUUCAAAACACACGCACACAGUAAAAAAUAACAUUGUAAAAAAUCUGAAACUAGGUAUGUAAUCGUAAGUAAUAAUAAAAAUAGAUAUUUUUAACUUAUUACAUGUAAAAUCCUAGGGAGUUUCUAAACUCCGUAGUCCCCAAAAUCUUGUUCUUUUUUUAUUUUUCAGACACAGAGAUAACAAAUUAAUUGAGCUUAAAAUCAAUUGGGAUUCAAUUACAUUGUACCUCUAAAUAGAUGUUAUGAACGAGAUAAAGAGAUUGGUUGAUCUUAAAAAAAUAAAAGGCAAAGAGAAAAAUAUUGCUGGUUAAAAAAAAUAGGAAAAUAUUGUAAAAUUAAACAAAAGUACCAAAUGUAAGGAAGUAAGACUGUUAUGUAAAAAUUUUUAUACUGUGAUGUAAAAACUUCUAUAGCUAACUUACUUUUAACAGGGGUAUAAGAUGACUUACGAGGAAUCACCUCGGCCCGAAAAUGUGUUUUUUUUUCUUUUGCAGACCUACCAUUACUAUUCUGCCGGUAUUUUCCAGCAUUUUUAACUAAGGUCUCAGGUACAAAAAACCAAUAUAAAUAAACAAUUAAGCUUAAAAGUAUUAGCCAGUAAGCGACAGCUGGAAUGGAAUCGUCGGAUUCCUCGGCCUCGAAAAAGUUUGUUUUCUUUUGCAGACCCAUAACCUGCCCGUUAGCGUUUUCCAGCAUUCGGAACUAAGGUGUCAGGUACAUCUUAUUUAAUAUCCCUAUUAUCUCUAUAUGUAUCCAUAGCAACAGUUAAAAAGGAAUCACAGGAUUCCUCGGCCGCGAAAAAGUUUGUUUUCUUUUGCAGACCCGUAACCUGCCCGUUAGCGUUUUCCAGCAUUCGGAACUAAGUUGUCACUUGUCAGGUACAACUAAUUUGAUCUACAGAUCUGUAUGCAUCUAUAAAAAGAGAUAAGUUACGUUAUAUAUUUAAAGUAUUAGCCAGCAAACGACAAAAGGAAUCAUGGAUUCCUCGACCCCCGAAAAAGUUUGUUUUCUUUUGCAGACCGAUAAAAUGCCCGGUAGCCUUUCCAGCAUUCGGAAGUAAAGUCUCAGGUACAACUAAUUUGAUCCCCCCAACAGCUCGGUACCGCAAUAGUCUGCAGCUGCUAAGUAACAAUUUUUAUUUAACUCUCCUUAGGAACCCCUGGUUAAUAGCUGUAACGCAGUAUGUAUAGUUUUAACUCUGCUACAAUCUGGAUUACUGCUUAAGUCAGGUUAGUUUUUAUGUCUAUUUGGUAACAGAAUACUACUAGCAUUUACGUAAACAGAUAAGUUACGUUUAACUUAGUACUAGAAUUAGGCACUCAGAUAAAGGAAUCUAAAGAUUCCUCGGCCAAGAAAAAGUUCGUUUUCUUUUGCAGACCCCCGAAACUCUGCUCGAUCGGUUCUCGGCCUUCCAGAGUAAGAUGUAUCAUUUGUAAUGUUAUGUCUAGCUUUACUUUUAUUGUAAUAGCGAUAAGUAGUAUGUAUAUUAUGCUUAUUUAAUCACUGUAUCUAUGUUUACUUUCUGCAUUGCGCUAACGUCUGAAUGUAAAUUUUUCCCUAACCGACAUUGUUCCCAGAUACCGGAGUUUGUUAAUAUAGUUAAACUUUUGCUAUGUGUAGUUUAAAUUGGUUUCCUAGGGUAUGCCGGGGUCUUUGCCCCCCUUUUUUUCUUUUACAGAACUAGGUAGAUGGCGUAUUGAUUUGGUUUAGAUAACAAAAUUUAAAGCCACCGUUAAAAGGAGAAUUAAGCCGGGAAUUCGAGAAUAAAACCACAGUUCGAGCACCAGAGCCCAGAGCCGGUCUUCGCUCCUCCGUAAAGUAGCAUUUUAACCUUUACCCUUUAAUGCUUGUGGUAUAAUGCUUGCAUAUAUCCUUGGAGCCCAUAGGGCUCCGCAAAAUUCUUGUCCAGUUAUAUUUUACAGAUCGUAUAAACUCUACCUGAGCAGUAGCAGGAUGAUCCACCCAUCCGAGCCGGUAAAAGCAAAUAAUGACAAUUCGCUGAGGAACUAUGCUAAACCAAAUAAGUUUAAGGUCUUUUUGUAAGUGAAAUCUGCGAUUUCCAAAUACAUACUUUAUAAUAAAAAUAUGACUAAUAUAAUGGUUGGAAUGUAAUAAAAUAUAUUAGGUACGUGAUGAGGUUUGUAACUCUCAAAAUUAAAUGGUACUAUAUUUUAAGAAUAUUUUUGAGUCCUAGGACUCGUUGUUUCGAAAUCUUGGAUUUUAUUUUACAGAUAGCGAAAACCCUCGAUGAAUGAGGUAACAAAUACAGAUAUAAUAUAUGAAUAUAUAAAAUAAGCAUCAAAACUUAUGAAUAAAAACUAUGUAUAAGCAAAUGAAAUAAAAACAAACAAAAAUACAGAAAACAAAUACACAAAAAUACACACCAAAAUUGCGAUUGAAGAAAAACGAGAACGAAAGUUUCCUUUUCAGGACCAUAACUAUUUCCUUGCAGAUUCUUUCUAGGACGCGUUUUUGCCACAUAGGACAUAAUAUAGCCCGGGCGAUGACAUUAGGAUAUACUUGUAUGUAUGUAUAUAAGUAUUUGUGUAGUAUACUUCUGAAAUAUUUAAAAAUGUAAUUCCAAAUUCAAAAGAAGUGAUACCUGUGGAGUUUCUUGCGCCGCUUCUUCUCCACAGAAGAACACAUUCCGAAGCGGUGGUAGAUUACGAUUGGCUGAUAUAAUAAGUCUGCUAAAUAACACAAACAAAGCGGACUUUACAUUGUAAUUUUAAAGACAAAUAAACAAAUUUUAAUUUA